rnacentral:rRNA from 1 species
GAUGAACGCUGGCGGCGCGCCUAACACAUGCCAGUCGAACGAUUAAAGCACCUUCGGGUGUGUAUAAAGUGGCGAACGGCUGAGUAACACGUGGGCAACCUGCCCCUUUCAUUGGGAUAGCCACGGGAAACCGUGGAUAAUACCGAAUACUUCGAGACUUCCGCAUGGAAGACUCGAGAAAGCUCCGGCGGUGAGGGAUGGGCCCGCGGCCUGUUAGCUUGUUGGUGGGGUAACGGCCUACCAAGGCAAUGAUGGGUAGCUGGGUUGAGGGACCGACCAGCCAGAUUGGGACUGAGACACGGCCCAGACUCCUACGGGAGGCAGCAGUGGGGAAUCUUGCACAAUGGGCGAAAGCCUGAUGCAGCGACGCCGCGUGCGGGAUGAAGGCCUUCGGGUUGUAAACCGCUUUCAGCAGGGACGAGGCGAAAGUGACGGUACCUGCAGAAGAAGCCCCGGCUAACUACGUG